AAGUCGUAACAAGGUUUCCGUAGGUGAACCUGCGGAAGGAUCAUUACAUGAUAAAUAUAUAUAUAUAUAUGAAUGUAAUGCGAUGCCUCACGGUUUUGCAUUGCAUUCUAUUAUAUCAUAUACACCCUUGUGAACCGUAAUUGACACCUUUGGUGAGCGUGUGGCUCGAAAGUGCUCCGCCCGCCAGACGGUACAAACAAUUGAAAAACAUUCAACACAUUCAGACUUAUGAUCACAAUAUAUUAAUUGAAAUACAACUUUUAACAAUGGAUCUCUUGGCUCUU
rnacentral:misc_RNA from 1 species